AAUGGGCGAAAGCCUGACGCAGCAACGCCGCGUGCGGGAUGAAGGCCUUCGGGUUGUAAACCGCUUUCAGCAGGGACGAAAAUGACUGUACCUGCAGAAGAAGCCCCGGCUAACUACGUGCCAGCAGCCGCGGUAAUACGUAGGGGGCAAGCGUUAUCCGGAUUUAUUGGGCGUAAAGCGCGUGUAGGCGGCUUGUUAAGUCAGAUGUGAAAACCGGGGGCUCAACCCGCGGCCUGCAUCUGACACUGGCAGGCUGGAGGCUGGUAGAGGAAAGUGGAAUUCCUAGUGUAGCGGUGAGAUGCGCAGAUAUUAGGAGGAACACCAGUGGCGAAGGCGGCUCUCUGGACCGAUACUGACGCUGAGUCGCGAAAGCGUGGGUAGCAAA
rnacentral:rRNA from 1 species